GACGAACGCUGGCGGCGUGCCUAAUACAUGCAAGUUGAGCGAUGAAGAUUGGUGCUUGCACCAAUUUGCAGAGCAGCGAACGGGUGAGUAACGCGUGGGGAAUCUGCCUUUGAGCGGGGGACAACAUUUGGAAACGAAUGCUAAUACCGCAUAACAACUUAAACAUAAGUUUUAAGUUUGAAAGAUGCAAUUGCAUCACUCAAAGAUGAUCCCGCGUUGUAUUAGCUAGUUGGUGAGGUAAAGGCUCACCAAGGCGAUGAUACAUAGCCGACCUGAGAGGGUGAUCGGCCACAUUGGGACUGAGACACGGCCCAAACUCCUACGGGAGGCAGCAGUAGGGAAUCUUCGGCAAUGGACGAAAGUCUGACCGAGCAACGCCGCGUGAGUGAAGAAGGUUUUCGGAUCGUAAAACUCUGUUGGUGGAGAAGAACGUUGGUGAGAGUGGAAAGCUCAUCAAGUGACGGUAACUACCCAGAAAGGGACGGCUAACUACGUG
rnacentral:rRNA from 1 species